CAAGAUUGAGAUUAAAAUGCUUAGCAAGGGGAGCAAGAGCUGUGCUUCAAGUAUAUCCUGAAAACCUAGCCCAGUUUGAGUUAAUUUUGAGUUAUGCAAUGCGUGCUGGAUUUGCUGGUGGUGUGGUUGUUGACUACCCACACAGUACCAAAACGAGAAAAGAAUACCUUGUCCUCGGCACUCCCGAUCCUGGUGGAAAAGGUGAAGAUGGAGAGAAUUGCUCCGAUGAAGA